AUAUUCCUAUUGCGCUACAAAAGUAUGUCCGUCUCUCACCUGGGAACGUUGUCUACGUAUAGAAUUCAAAACAAUUGUAAUUCCACAUUUUAUGUAAAUUGUACAACUUUUCUAUUGAUUCAUUAUAUUUUUUGUGUAUCGUAAUUUUGAAGCAAAAUUUCAUCGAAGUAUAUUAUUAUUUCUGGGAUAAAUGCGUGUCGUAUAGGAACCAAUUACAAAAACUGUAGUAUUAUAACCGAGAUCUAUUAAUGGUAGGGGAAAAAACAGUUCCUCUAACGGUAUGAGAAUGACAGAACUUGACAACUAAUUUUAUUUUUAUGGGAUUCCUUCUUGAAGAUUAACGUUAAAACAUAUACAUAAUAAACAAGGCAAGGUGUUCCUCCACAGGGGUGAGCUGUACAUCCUGCCCUGACCUCCCGCUCUAGUGGAGUUGGCCUGCCCAUGAAUGCAGCGCCCAGCGUGAACCAGGCUCUGGUCCUGCUCUCGUCCCACACACAGGCCUGUCUGGCCAGCCCCAAGAUCCGCACUGCUCUGGGGAAAAGACUGGAGGAAUCUAUGAACCAACACACCUCCAGGCUGUGUAAGGGCUAUUUGACCAAGAAGGAGAGUGA